CAAAAAUGAAGAARUUUCUUCUCAGGACA
rnacentral:tRNA from 1 species